UAUUGCCGCACGCAAGAGGUCGCAGUGCUGUCACAUAUUCUGUGCGACUAUACUACCGUAGUGACGUAAGGCCAGAGCAAGAUCGGAAAUCGACCCACUCCAUGCAGUGAUUACACCUCGCCGACACCAAUCGAUAAUGGAUGUGGUUCUGACAAACCGAACACAACCAGCGUCCGUGGUUCUUUUCAAUCCCGACACGAAUUAGAAGCGUGCGGAGAAGGUACUCUGGGAUGUACCUCUCCAAUGAUGAAAAAGGACCAACAGGUACACUGAGGCGGCAGCCCCUGACCGAUGAAGGAGCCCAUCGUGUUAGUCCGAUACGCAGAACCGGCUGCCAUGGAAUUGGGCUUUAUACUCUACCUUGAUUAAAUUUGCCUAGUGUUCAUUGGUAUUGUGUUUGACGUAUGUACUCGUCCAAACUCGGAGGUCCCCGUGGCGCAAAGGUUAGCAUGUCCGCCUAUAACGCAGAAUGUCUGUCUUCAAUACCGGCUUGAACAUCACAAACAUUUUUUUCAGCUGUGAUUAUCCCCUUACAUAUGCUGGCGACAUUUGCACUUUUCUAACAAGUGGUGUCGCUAGCGGCACGCCAUAUUGUGGGAAAUUUUACUUCAAAAGUGUAGUUUAAUUCAAAAUUGAAAUUUCAAGCUAUAAAGACAUAUUAUGCAUCGUUCUAAACAUGGUCUUAGGACAUAUCACCUAGUAACAGUAGGUUCAUGAACAUACACAUUUUUGGUUUUGUCAUACUAACAUGAUUUCUUAUUGUACGAAUUUUUUGUAAACUUUAAACCUAUCCGUUGAACUAAUUUUCUAAAUUCUGCCGCAGUGAAAAUCAUAAUUUUGUAUAUAACGAUAAAAUAAAUUUCUGCCCACUUUAAAUUUUUUCAACCUAAUGGCUGGUACUACACUGUCGGACAAAAUAAAGUGCGGUUGUGUACCCUUCUUCAUUAAUCCUCAAUAUUUUUUUAUCUACGUGUAUUAUUUACUGUUUUUUUAUUGUGCCGUUAUUUGUUGGAGAGCCUCAAUUAUUUCCAUAAACAUUUGAAAAAUCUUAACUCGUUCGUUCAGGUUUCUGAUGUAAAAGAAUUGUUUUGUAAAAGAAGUCUUCGCGACAUAAUAAAAAUGCAUUUUUUUUAUAAAUCGAGAAAAUUUAUAAUAUAUUCCUGAUUUGUUUGACAAAAGUUGUGGAAAUAAACUGGACCAUUACUUUUUCGAAAUGAAGCCCUUAACCGAAACUCAAAAAGAUAUAUUGGUACAAGAACGCGACAAUGGGAUGAAAUUGAAAGCUUUCAGUUCCAAGUAUAAAAUAUCAGUAUCUGGGUUGGUAGGCUCGUAAAAAUUGGCUCUAAAAUGACUGGAGAUCACUGUGUAAAUAUUUUUAAAGAGCAUUUUUAUAGCAGUGUGGAAGCAAUGGGCUUGGGGGAGUUCAUAUUUCAACAAGACAACAACCCAGAACAAACGAGUAAGGUCGCAAAAAAAUAUUUUGAAGAAAAUAACGUUGAAAAAUUAGAAUGGCCUGCUCAAAGCCCUUAUCUAAACCCCAUAGAGGAUUUUUGGGCUAUCCUAGAUGACAAAAUCCCGAUGGAAUCCAAAUCAAAUCUUCAAACAUUUGGGAAAAAAUGCAAAGUGAAGAACCUUGCUUUAAGUAUGCCGAAAAGAUUGAAACACAACAAAACUUUCAAUGAUAACACUUUUAUGAUUUUUUUUUCAUAAGUAAUGAGGGAAUGUCCUACUGAAUAAACUCGCAGAAUUAAUUUCUCCCCCGAAUAAAAUCCUCCUAUUCUGAUUGUAUGGGGAGAGAAAAAAUUUGGGAGAGGGAAUUUGGAAUAUUCCAAUAACGGCUGCUUGCUUCAGCUGUUUUAUUUUGCCUAAAUAUUUUACUAUUAUUUUUUUUAAAAAAAGAACAUAAAAUGGGAAAACAAGCAAAAAGUAUUAUAAAUGUUGUUAAGAAGUUUACAAACAUGGUUAUUGUUGCUUUGUUAAAGUUUGUUUUACCUUUUUAUAUUUU